GCGAAGGUGGUGGAAUUGGUAGACACGCUAGACUAAGGAUCUAGUGGCGCAAGCUGUGGGGGUUCGAUUCCCCCCCUUCGCA
rnacentral:tRNA from 1 species